rnacentral:rRNA from 1 species
UACGUAGGGUGCAAGCGUUGUUCGGAUUUACUGGGCGUAAAGGGCGCGUAGGCGGCGUGACUAGUCACUUGUGAAAUCUCCGGGCUUAACUCGGAACGGUCAAGUGAUACUGUCGUGCUAGAGUACAGAAGGGGCAACUGGAAUUCUCGGUGUAGCGGUGAAAUGCGUAGAUAUCGAGAGGAACACCUGCGGCGAAGGCGGGUUGCUGGGCUGAUACUGACGCUGAUGCGCGAAAGCCAGGGGAGCGAACGGG